CACAUGCAAGUCGAGGGGAACGACAUCGAAAGCUUGCUUUUGAUGGGCGUCGACCGGCGCACGGGUGAGUAACGCGUAUCCAACCUGCCCAUCACUUGGGAUAACCUUGCGAAAGUAAGACUAAUACCCAAUGAUAUCUCUAGAAGGCAUCUGAAAGAGAUUAAAGAUUUAUCGGUGAUGGAUGGGGAUGCGUCUGAUUAGCUUGUUGGCGGGGUAACGGCCCACCAAAGCAACGAUCAGUAGGGGUUCUGAGAGGAAGGUCCCCCACAUUGGAACUGAGACACGGUCCAAACUCCUACGGGAGGCAGCAGUGAGGAAUAUUGGUCAAUGGACGAGAGUCUGAACCAGCCAAGUAGCGUGCAGGAUGACGGCCCUAUGGGUUGUAAACUGCUUUUAUAAGGGAAUAAAGUGAGUCUCGUGAGACUUUUUGCAUGUACCUUAUGAAUAAGGACCGGCUAAUUCCGUGCCAGCAGCCGCGGUAAUACGGAAGGUCCGGGCGUUAUCCGGAUUUAUUGGGUUUAAAGGGAGCGUAGGCCGGAGAUUAAGCGUGUUGUGAAAUGUAGAUGCUCAACAUCUGCACUGCAGCGCGAACUGGUUUCCUUGAGUACGCACAAAGUGGGCGGAAUUCGUGGUGUAGCGGUGAAAUGCUUAGAUAUCACGAAGAACUCCGAUUGCGAAGGCAGCUCACUGGAGCGCAACUGACGCUGAAGCUCGAAAGUGCGGGUAUCGAACAGGAUUAGAUACCCUGGUAGUCCGCACGGUAAACGAUGGAUGCCCGCUGUUGGUCUGAAUAGGUCAGCGGCCAAGCGAAAGCAUUAAGCAUCCCACCUGGGGAGUACGCCGGCAACGGUGAAACUCAAAGGAAUUGACGGGGGCCCGCACAAGCGGAGGAACAUGUGGUUUAAUUCGAUGAUACGCGA
rnacentral:rRNA from 1 species